rnacentral:misc_RNA from 1 species
GAUAAACAAAGCCACUAAACAGAUCCAAAAUGCCUAAAUUUUCACCUUAUAUACAGAUCAGUUAUUUCAAUAGACAAUUGGGCAUGCCACUCGGGCUUUUCAAUCAACCAAAUGGCACGGUCGUCCUUGCUCUGGUAAAACCCUAAAACCCCAAGCCACUAAUCAAUGCAAAGCAAGCUAUGAGAGUAUAAAGGCUUGAUCUUGUCAGGAAGUCUAUUGAGCUGCUUGUCUUCUGUGGAUGACAAUUCCUCCUGUGACUCGGAGGAUUUAGAGGAAACUACUGUUAGGAUUUUUCUUGGAAUGUGUCAGAAAUGGUGGGGACAUGAAGGGUUCUAGAAAAGGGGAAGGGCAUGGGGAGGGAAGAAGAGAUCAUUUUGAAUAAGAUGAGGAAUGUCUAGAAUAUAGGAAAUGGGUAGAGGCAAAAAUAGAGCUAGAAAUGGUUGAUCUUGCUAGGGCUUUAUGGGUUCAUUUAAAUUCUCGUUCUUGGUGAAUUGGGAAAGAAAAAUUGGACAAUGGAAAAUUAUGACUUAACGCAGAAGAAGAAUUCAUCAUCUUCUUCAUCUUCAAGUUUGGAUGUAAUUUUGCGGUGUGAGCAAGCAGGCAGACGCUGUUUCCCUCAGUGUUUGACAUAUGGGUAAUGGUUAUUGGAUGUCACGUGAGAUGGUCAAAUGAUAAUCCUGUGACCAGAAACAUGCCCGCCAAAUGAACCCCAUUUUCGCAUUCCCGCCCUCUUCCGGAAGAUUUGAUCUAAACGACAUUGUUUUGUUUUGACUUUCGCCCUUUGCCUUUCCCUAGCCUCCAAAAUCCUCUGCAUCUGCAACUCACAACUCCUCUCUCAUAGAUUUGUCUCUGCAAUGGCGAUAAUAGACUCAAUCACAGACUAUAGUAAAACCCAACGUGUAGUUCUCCUCAUAGACCUAAACCCACUUCUCCACCUCAAAGACCCAAAUCCAUAUCUUAUCUCUUUGCUUUCCUGUGCUAAAACCCUUCUCUCUUUCCCUCCACUUUCCUCCUCUCUCUUCUCCUUUAAGCCCUUUUAUCUUCCUUCUCUGGGCUCCUCUCCUCUUCUAAGCUUUCCAUCCCUUCUUUGUCUCUCUCUUUCAACCGCCCAAAUUCCACUCUCGAGUCUCUCACCCAAACCGUCACUGCCCUUCUCUCUGCCAUCGAUAGAACUUCGAUUCCGCCCCUCUCGCCUCGGGCUUUGCACCUUGCAGCGUCGAUGCGUCAGCUUGUUCAUGAUUACGCUUGGGAUUCUGUGAUCUGCGAUUCACUUGCGGGUACGCUUUCGAAUUGCGACUCAUUUGUAAAAUCGAAUUUAGUUGUUUUGUUUUCCCCAAUUAUUUCGUCUUUGAAAUGCUUGUCAGAAUUCUUCAGUGUAGAGAUGAGUGAUGAGUGUUUGAGAAAUGUGGACGGGUUGAUUAAGAAGUUCCGUGAGUCCUUUGAGAGCGUCAAUGAGGCUUUUAUUAGUAGGGACAUUCAUUUCAGUUGGGUUGAUGUGAAGUAUGAGACCGCGUGUGCUGCAUAUAAGGGUGAUUUUGAGGAACCCGAGUUGGUAUAUGGGUUUUUCGAGAGUGGGAUUAGGGAUUUAGGCUGGGGGUUUUGUUCAAGUGAGUCUAUUGUUUUGGGUUCUGCACUCGUUCCUUUUGGAUUAAUUUAUCCAAGGAUUGGAAUUUCGCCGAGAUUGAUUAAUUUGGAUGAUAGUUAUCAGGCUAUCAAUGCGCAACUGAGUCUCGAGAUACUAGAUGUGAGUGAAAAGCCUUUGGAAUGUAAGUGUUGUGAUAUAGAAUUGGUUAAUCUCAAUUGGUUUUCUGGAAUUAGCCCAAAGUUCACGGAUCCACAAACUUAUAGUUUUGAGCAAAAGAAAAUGGUUUGGAGAAAUCUUAGUCAUGGAAUGACAAAACUACAUGUUAAAGCAGUUAAAAAACAUGUUAAGUGUGUAAACUUGGAGGGGUUCUUGUCUGAUCCCAUUUUUGUGCGUGAGCUUUCACGGGAUUCUGAGAAAGUUCAAAAUGAAAGUUGCAGUGAACUUUUUGAAGACAAGGUUCUUGAAAUCCUGAGGAUGGAAAUGGGCAACUCGGUGCCAAGAAAAUCUGUACCCAUUUGGGAAAUUCUUUUCAGUUUUCUAUAUAGAGAAGAUUAUUGGGCUUUGGUGUCUCUUUCAAAUGGCAAUGGCAAUUCACUUGUGGGAAUCCUGAAGCCUUUCACAGUUUCUUUAGCUCUCCUCUCAAUUAUAAGAGAUCACUCUAUAAUAAAUGAAUUUGAUGGAGCAGGUUUAGGUCAAUUUGUUAUGAAGGCAGACACUGAGAUUUGCAAAUCCCAAUUAGAUUUGACCCAGUCCUUUGGACUCGUAGGUCCCCAAUCUGGGCCUCCACCUUCAGAAAACUGUGCUGAAGUUGGAGAUGGUAAAAGGAAGAAGAAGAAAAGUUUAAAUAUGCUUCAGGAACUAACGUGGAGUGCCUUUUGUAAGGCAGCACUGGAACACUUACAAAUAGAUUUGGAAGAUAUUUACUUUGCCAGGGGAUGCAGCAAGUCAAAGAAAUUAAAAUUUCUGAAAUGCUGGAUGAAACAGAUUAAGAAAUCUAGCAUUUGUAGCUUGCCCAUGCCUGAGAGAUCCAAACUGCAUCAGGACAUCUCUAAAAAAAUGGACAAUAGAUCAACCGAGUUGCCUCAGGAAUGUGAACAGCCAAUUCCUUCAUGUUCCUCAGUGGGAGAGGAUUCCUUGACCGGGGCUUCUAGAAUACAGGAUGAAGUUGCUCUUGGUUUUUGCUCAGAUACUUUGGAAAGUUUUUUUAAUGAUCUUCCACAUAAAAUCCAGCAAGGGAUUGAAUCUGAAGAAGUAGAGUUGGAGUCUUUGGCAAAUCGACUUGUUAACUCAUCUAUAUAUUGGUUAUGUCAAAAGCGUGAAAGGGAAACUGUGUCCGAGAGUCAAAUGCAUGUUGUAAAAUCUGAUGAUCCUUCUACUGGAACAGUUGCUGUUGAGCUGACUAAACUUUUAAUCAAGGAUCCUAAGGACUUGGCUGCUAUGUACAGAAAUAGAGAACUAUCCUCUCGGGCAUCUAAUCCAAGUGCUGCUGAAGUUACUUCAGAACAUAUUGUUAGAGAAUAUGAAUUACAGAUUUUAUAUCGCAUGGAGAUGCUCCAAUCAGAGGUUGGAGCAAGUUUUGGGGAGUCUACAAAACAAAAGUUUGUGAAGCAAAUUUGCUUGCUUUUAGAGACCAUUCAGUGCCAUCUGCAGGGAGGCUUUUUUGGUGAUUGGAGCCUUGAAAAAUAUAUGGGAAAGAUCAUAAAAAACAGGUACUUGUAACUACAUGAAAUUCACAUUUUUCCCCUGAAACUACUUCGUACGUGGCACCUACUAGGAAUCUCUUAGUUUCCUUUUUGAAGUCUAGAAUACACUUGGCUGUCGUUGAUUGUUUGAGCUGUUUGUUUCUAGUGCCUAUUAUUCCAUCACUAUUCUUUUAUUCUGUACCAUUGUCUGAAACAGUGUUGGAGGAAAUUCUUUUAUUGGUGUAGGAAUUAAUACAGGAUAUCUGAUCGUGCAUUCAUCUCUUAUUUCAGAGAAUGCUAGUGCGGCUGUUGUAUGCAUCAUAGGUACACAGCACUUGAGAUGACUGUAGCAUACAUAAACCAGCUCAACUAAGCUUUAAUCCUAUUCUAGGCAGGGGUUGGCUUUAUGUAUCGUCUUUCCUUCAAUUCUCUAUUUUUAGAGCUGCUUCUUUAGAUGAACUUGUGUAGAUUGAUGCCCAACUUUAUAAAUUGUUUUUUGAAUAUAUUAGAAGUAUUAAUAUUUAUGUAUUGGAGUUUGAAUGCGAGCAUCCCUUUUUGCUUGAGAGGAAAGAAUGUGAGCAUAGCUGAAUUAUACAUUUGAAUGCCUAAAUUUUCAGGUAUUGUCAGAGUCUUGGGGAUGUGGUUCAGAGAAUUUAUGCAAAAAUGGAUAUGUUGUUAUUUGAGGAUGAGGAUGAAUCCCCUAAUUCUUUGCUGAAUAGUGAGGACAGUAAUCAAUCCUGGAAAGGAAAACACAAGGGAGAUGAAAUGGAUGAAAACUGUAGAAACAACGAUCCAGUCUCUGCAGAAGAUGAAUCCUUCCAAUUGGUGGGAAAGGAGCAUGGAAGUCCCCAAGGAAUAAACAGGGAGAAGCACGCUCGUAAAUUAAUUGAAGCUCAGGAAAGAAGACAAAGAGCUCGUAGAUUUGCAUCUUUCACUAGCUGGGUUCCAGACUUGCAAAGAGUUUGGGCCCCAAAGCAGCCGAGGGCAAUGAAAGUGAGGUCAGAUCCUCUUCGGAAGCAAUUAAAAAGAAGGGAACAAAGAAGGGUAAACUAUGACACGGUAUGCGAGACCCCAAUGACUGGAAAGAAAAGUUCCAGCGGAGGAGGCAGCAUUGGUGGGGAAGACCACCAAGAUAAUGGGACCCCUUUGUGUGGUUCUGUUUCUAAGGCCCUGUUUCAAGAUGACUGAUAAUGCAAGUCAGAGUAACAGUUCUUAGGAUGCCCAGAUGACGUGCUUUUGCGAAAGGAAAAAAAAAAAAAGAAAUAAUUUCUUGAUAAGUUGCAAAACCCCAUGUAACAUAACAAUUAGAGCGUUAACUUUUCCCUUACAAAUCUAAUUUCUGUUAGCAAUUGUAAAAUUAUGAUAAUAUUGUUAUAACUUCACAUGAAACUGUUAUAUUUCUGAGAUAAUAAUGCAUUUUACUGAAUAAAGAUAAAUUUUC